UAGGAUGACUAAGAGUUGGAAAAAGGACAGGCUCGCUUGAUUCUCCAGCAUAUCAAAGAGCGACUCAAAUGGACGGUCUAGGGACAAGCAUCAUUCGAAGAAAUGAUCGAUCGAUGAUGGUGAUUAGGCGAUAGGUGAUCGUGAUUAGGUGGUGUGGGGAAGAGUGAUAGGAGUUGGUAAUGUGUCAGGAUGGGGAGAAAUCAGCCGUACACCACUGCUUGCAGGGGCAAGGAUGUUGUGAUGCAUGUAAAGCAGGUGAUCACAAGAUGGGUGUGAUUGAUUUAUUGUCCUCUUUUGGGAAUCAACCUACUAUGCGCAGAGGAUCAGCAUCCUUUUAUUUAAAGGUAGCAAUGAGAA
rnacentral:lncRNA from 1 species